rnacentral:rRNA from 1 species
UACGUAGGGGGCAAGCGUUGUCCGGAUUUAUUGGGCGUAAAGGGCGCGUAGGCGGCCUGUUAAGUCGAACGUGAAAUCCCCGGGCUCAACCCGGGAACUGCGUCCGAUACUGGCAGGCUUGAAUCCGGGAGAGGGAUGCGGAAUUCCAGGUGUAGCGGUGAAAUGCGUAGAUAUCUGGAGGAACACCGGUGGCGAAGGCGGCAUCCUGGACCGGUAUUGACGCUGAGGCGCGAAAGCCAGGGGAGCAAACGGG